GGUCUUACAGGAGGUGUGUUCAGGUGCAUUCUGGCGUGCUGGUCUUCCAGGGAGGUGUGUUCAGGGUGGCAUUCUGGCGUGCUGGUCUUACAGGGAGGUGUGUUCAGGUGCAGUCUGGGCGUUCUGGUCUUCAGGAGGAUGUGUUCAGGUGCAUUACUGGCGGCUGGUCUGACAGGAGGUGUGUUAUACAGUGCAUUCUGGGCGUGCUGCUUACGAGGAGUGUGUUCAGAUGCAGUUCCCCCUGGGCGUGCUGGUCUUACA